GACGAACGCUGGCGGCGUGCUUAACACAUGCAAGUCGAACGGAAAGGCCCUGCUUUUGUGGGGUGCUCGAGUGGCGAACGGGUGAGUAACACGUGAGUAACCUGCCCUUGACUUUGGGAUAACUUCAGGAAACUGGGGCUAAUACCGGAUAGGAGCUCCUGCUGCAUGGUGGGGUUUGGAAAGUUUCGGCGGUGGGGGAUGUACUCGCGGCUUAUCAGCUUGUUGGUGGGGUAGUGGCUUACCAAGGCUUUGACGGGUAGCCGGCCUGAGAGGGUGACCGGCCACAUUGGGACUGAGAUACGGCCCAGACUCCUACGGGAGGCAGCAGUGGGGAAUAUUGCACAAUGGGCGGAAGCCUGAUGAAGCAACGCCGCGUGCGGGAUGACGGCCUUCGGGUUGUAAACCGCUUUCGCCUGUGACGAAGCGUGAGUGACGGUAAUGGGUAAAGAAGCACCGGCUAACUACGUG
rnacentral:rRNA from 1 species